rnacentral:rRNA from 1 species
GAUGAACGCUGGCGGCGUGCUUAACACAUGCAAGUCGAACGGUGAAGCGCCUUCCUCUUUGGUGGGUGUGGAUGAGUGGCGAACGGGUGAGUAACACGUGAGUAACCUGCCCCCUUCUUCUGGAUAACCGCAUGAAAGUGUGGCUAAUACGGGAUAUUCCGGGUCUGUCGCAUGAUGGGUCUGGGAUCGAUUUUGUUUCGGUGGGGGUGGGCUCGCGGACUUUCUGCUUGUUGGUGGGGUGAUGGCCUACCAAGGCGGUGGCGGGUAGCCGGCCUGGGAGGGUAGCCGGACAGACAGGGAGUGAGGCACGGCCCAGACUCCGACGGGGGGCAGCAGUCGAGAGGAGUGCACAGUGGGGGCAAGCCUGAUGCAGCGGCGAGGCGGGUGAGGUGGAGGCCUUCGGGUUGUGAACCUCUUUCGCCAGUGAAGCAGUCCUACCUCGUAUGUAGGUGAGUUGACGGUAGCUGGAUAAGAAGCGCCGGCUAACUACGUG